rnacentral:rRNA from 1 species
UAGGGAAUCUUCGGCAAUGGACGAAAGUCUGACCGAGCAACGCCGCGUGUGUGAAGAAGGUUUUCGGAUCGUAAAACUCUGUUGUUAGAGAAGAACAAGGACGUUAGUAACUGAACGUCCCCUGACGGUAUCUAACCAGAAAGCCACGGCUAACUACGUGCCAGCAGCCGCGGUAAUACGUAGGUGGCAAGCGUUGUCCGGAUUUAUUGGGCGUAAAGCGAGCGCAGGCGGUUUCUUAAGUCUGAUGUGAAAGCCCCCGGCUCAACCGGGGAGGGUCAUUGGAAACGGGGGGACUUGAGUGCAGAGGAGGAGAGUGGAAUUCCAUGUGUAGCGGUGAAAUGCGUAGAUAUAUGGAGGAACACCAGUGGCGAAUGCGGCUCUCUGGUCUGUAGCUGACGCUGAGGCUCGAAAGCGUGGGGAGCAAACAGG